CUGGCUCAGAUGAACGCUGGCGGCGUGCUUAACACAUGCAAGUCGAACGCGAAAGGGACUUCGGUCCUGAGUAAAGUGGCGCACGGGUGAGUAACGCGUGGAUAAUCUGCCCUUAUGAUCGGGAUAACAGUUGGAAACGGCUGCUAAUACCGGAUACGCUCAAAAUGAACUUUUUGAGGAAAGAUGGCCUCUGCUUGCAUGCUAUCACGUAAGGAUGAGUCCGCGUCCCAUUAGCUUGUUGGCGGGGUAACGGCCCACCAAGGCAACGAUGGGUAGCCGAUUUGAGAGGAUGAUCGGCCACACUGGAACUGAAACACGGUCCAGACUCCUACGGGAGGCAGCAGUGGGGAAUAUUGCGCAAUGGGCGAAAGCCUGACGCAGCGACGCCGCGUGAGGGAUGAAGGUUUUCGGAUCGUAAACCUCUGUCAGAAGGGAAGAAACUACGUUGUGCUAAUCAGCAGCGUACUGACGGUACCUUCAAAGGAAGCACCGGCUAACUCCGUGCCAGCCGCCGC
rnacentral:rRNA from 1 species